AUUGAACGCUGGCGGCAGGCCUAACACAUGCAAGUCGAACGGCAGCGGGGGGUAGCUUGCUACCCCGCCGGCGAGUGGCGGACGGGUGAGUAAUGCCUGGGGAGCUGCCCAAUCGAGGGGGAUACCAGUUGGAAACGACUGCUAAUACCGCAUACGCCCUGAGGGGGAAAGGUGGGGAUCUUCGGACCUACCGCGAUUGGAUGCACCCAGGUGGGAUUAGCUAGUUGGUGAGGUAACGGCUCACCAAGGCGACGAUCUCUAGCUGGUCUGAGAGGAUGACCAGCCACGCUGGAACUGAGACACGGGCCAGACUCCUACGGGAGGCAGCAGUGGGGAAUAUUGCACAAUGGGGGAAACCCUGAUGCAGCCAUGCCGCGUGUGUGAAGAAGGCCUUCGGGUUGUAAAGCACUUUCAGCGAGGAGGAAAGGUUGGCAGCUAAUACCUGUCAGCUGUGACGUUACUCGCAGAAGAAGCACCGGCUAACUCCGUGCCAGCAGCCGCCGUAACAC
rnacentral:rRNA from 1 species